CACAGAUUAGCAUCACCAUGCACAGCUUUUGCCUCUUCCCUGCGAAGAAGAAGAACAACAACAACAAGAAGAAGAAAGGUUUGGAUUUGAUAUCCCGCUUUAUCACUACCCAAAGGAGUCUCAAAGCGGCUAACAUUCUCCUUUCCCUUCCUCCCCCACAACAAACACUCUGUGAGGUGAGUGGGGCUGAGAGACUUCAGAGAAGUGUGACUAGCCAAGGUCACCCAGCAGCUGCAUGUGGAGGAGUGGGGAAGCGAACCCCGUUCACCAGAUUACGAGUCUACCGCUCUUAACCACUAUACCACACUGGCUCUGGUGGUGGGUGGCACUGCCCUGGGCAGAAUGCAGCAGCCAGGGCAUGGCACAGGACCACAGAGCCGCCAGCCUCCCUGGAACUGCCAACCGUGGCUCGUCCUGACGAUAGUCUCGCUGUGCAAGCAGUGACUACCUGGAGCCACCAUUCUGCUUGGCACGAGGAGGAACGGAGGGAGGAGGCAGCCUGCCAGCGCUCAUGCAGCCAGGCAAAGAAAGGAAGGCGUCGGCUGGCAAGCCCCACUCUCGAGGCUGGCGGCUAGGCUGCAGAGGGAGGGAGUGGGCGGGUAUCAGGUGGCCAUCAGGAGGCCUGAUUGAAGGGGGCAGAAUUAUUCUGACUAUGCAGAAUUAUAUAAAGUAACAGGAAAGAUUCGAAACCUUCGGGAUCAGAGAUUCUUAGAAGACUGGAGUAAAUAUAUGAACUAUUUGAAAAGUAAUUGUGAUGAACAGAUUACGCUAGUAGGAUUGCAAGAAGUUUUGUAAAGUGGAUUAUUUGAAAUAUUGCAAGAAAGACUAUGAAGAGAAUUAUUAGUUAAGGAUAAUUAAAUGUAAUAUAGAAAUUAAGAAAUGCAGAAUAAGUGAAAAAGAACGGAAAAUCAUCAAAGGUGUUGACAGAAGUAUAAGAUGAGAAAAUAUGUUGUAUGACUGUUGGAACGGAUAUGUUAAAAUAUAUAUAUAUAAAUAUAUAUAUUUUAAAAAUGAAGGGGGCAAUGCUGGCAGUGAGUGGGGAUGGGGAUUCACGAUACAUUGCCUGAUCAGAAAUUCUAAAAUAGCUCUCACGAUUUUACAUUUAGACCGGUUUCAGGCAAUACAUCACCUGUUUUCACAGGGCCCAAGCAGAUGCACAUGGGAAGCCCACAAGCAAGAGCUGAGCACAACAGCACUCCUGCCACUUGUCAUUCCCAGCAACUGGGCUACUGCCUCCAGCAGUGGAGACAGAACACAGCCAGGUUGGCUAGCAGCCUCUGAGAGCCUUAUUCUCCAUGGGUUUGUCUGUGACCCCUUUUAAAGCCACCACGUUGGUGGGCAUGGCUACAUCUUGUGCUGUCUCAGUUUGGGGUCAUUAUUAAUCAGGAAUAGGUACUACCAUCCUAUCCAUUUUUCACACCCCCAAAGUGUUACGGUCAUCACCCCUUAGAAUGCUACUUUCAGUGUGAAUUCACAUGAAUUAGUAAAUUUACUAUUGCAAUCCUCUUCUCACACAAAAUAUUUUGCUAUAUCAGUUUUUAAAGGUGGAUCUGUUCCAUGUACAGUCCUUGGAGAUGUUCUUGUAAGGCUGUGUCCAUUCUUGGGAUAUGUUUGCCAGAUUCAUAAACCUACAGCAGGGGUGGCUCAUCCGUAGCCCACCCCCAGCCUGGCUUGGCUUAGUGUUAACAUGCAAACUGGCUCUUAGUAUUUUGUCUUUCCACCCAAAUGCAACACCUACUUAGGAGAAAUGUCUAAAUAUAUUUCCUGCCUCAGCUUCCUCUGGAUGAAUACCCAGCCGCAGAUUAAGAAUGUAAGAAGGCGAAAGGUAGGGGAGGAAGGAAGAUAACUAAACAGACAAAAAUAUUAUCUGUUUGAGCCUUUAAAUAUAAAUUAGAUACCAGUAGGCACAUCCCCUGCUCUGGUGAAAUUAAUUCCUUGAGGAUUUCAAAUAUUAAUUCAGUAAUGUUCAUAAUUAAUUAUCAUUUUUGCUUCUCGCUUUCUCUUGUGCUCGUCUUUAAAAAGAAAAAAAAGGGGGGGGAUUAUUCCAGCUGCAAUACUGUGACUUGCACAUCCUGAGAAGAGCUUGUUUUUGCCAAUAACGGAGAGCAUGCAUCCUCUCUGCCAUCUGGAAGGAGAGAUUUUAUUUCCCCACUUUCAUUGCCACUAUUGCCACCACCAGAUCUUUACAGGAAGAAACGCAGAUGGAAAGCAAAAGGGGCUGGGGGCACACAGGACUGCCAGGCAGGUCUCCUUGCUUUUAUCCCGAGGGCCUGCUUGCUGAAUGACUCACGCGUGCAUCCUAAUCCUGCACAUGUUUUACUCACAAGCAAAAGCCACCAAGUUCAAUGCAGCUUACUCUCAAAUCCCCCUAGAACUGGAAGUCUUAGGAUAGUUCGCAGGGGAAUGCGAAGGACAUAAUCUCUUUACAAGUAACAAAAGGUCAGUAGGUUACUGGGGCCCAUUUGAAAUGGUCUCCGUCAUCUCAGUUGGUAGAGCAUGAGACUCUUAAGCUCAGGGUUGUGGGUUCAAGCCCCACAUUGGGCAAAAGAUUCUUGCAUUGCAGGCGGUUGGACAAGAUGACCCUUGAUGUCCCUUCCAACUCUACAGUUCUGUGGUUUUGUGGUUCCUUACUUCCCAAGGUGUUGUAAACAAAAUCUGCCCUUAUUCCCUUAUGGGGUACACAAGAGCCCUUAUAGAGUCCUUCAGUGGGUUCUCUAUCGGUAGAAGAAAAUAACAGAGGCCAACCAGAGAAUACUGAGAAGCAAAGCAGCUCAGAAUACUGAGAAGCAGCAACUAAGCCUGAUCUUUAUUAAAGCUGUUGCAACAGGGUUCUCCCCCCACAUGCAGGAGAGAGGAGGAGCAGCCACAACAAAGGUGUGCCCACCCUUAUAUAGACUUUUGGAAUUGCCCAUCCUCAAACGCCAGACCACCCCCAGAAACAUCAUACAUACAUCACAGAAGGGGUGCAGCCCAGGACCACCUCCCCCAAUACAUCAUACAUACAUCACAGGGGGCGGUCUAAAACAGAAUCCUGAGUGUGUUGUUUAUCUCCUGUCUGGCAGGUUACCUGCUUGCAUUAUCUGGGUUUUGGCCACUCUUUGUUAUUGUUGUUGUUGUUUAGUCGUUUAGUUGUGUCCGACUCUUCGUGACCCCCAUGGACCAGAGAACCCCAGGCACUCCUGGCAUUAUUAUAACUACUUAAAUUUCUGAAUCCAGGUCACAGGUCACAGGCUCACCCUAUUCACACCUUAAAUGUGCCCUUAAGGAAGGAUUUGUGAGCACAGAGACAAAGGGGAGGUUUUUUCAGUUCUUCCCUCCUUGCAGAGAAACAUUUGGUCAGUUUGGGAGAGUCAAAAUGGUUUCAGGACUGUCUUCCUGUACUGUUUCAGACGUGGUUUAUGUAUUUACGGUAUGUCCGUGUUUGCCUUGCACAUUUAAUUUAUAUAUUUGAGACCUUAAAUUCUUAUAACAAUGGCACAAUGUUGUAACCAGCAUCCAUCUGCUGAGCAGGUAUAGCAGGGAUGGGGAACCUUUUGUUACCCCAGGGACUGCCUUUCCUUCUCACCAACCUUGAGCUAGGGCCACAUACCAGUGGACAGUAGGGCCAGGGGCUGCCUGCCUGGCAAGCUAUGAGAUCAGUGCAUCAUGAGAACUCUCCUGCCUUCCUUUUAUGUGAUUUGCUCCAAAACAGUGGCUGUGCAUAAAACAUAAGGGGAUUUGAACCCCUGUCCAUGCCUAGGGACUUUAAAUAGUGGGCUCACUGCUGGCUGUGUCAAGGGGCUGAUGAACUGAUGGCCCCGUGGUGUUGUCAUCAUGCAUGGGGACAGGGGUGAUGAAGACACAGUGCUGUGUCCUCAUCAUCAUCAGUUCGUCGGCUCGUUCAUCUGCAGGUGAUGGCACAGUCCCUGACUGGGGGGUGUAGGCAGAGUUUCCACAGGUGCUUAGGCAGGGUGUCCUCCAACCCACUGAAGCAGUAAUCUGGGUUAAACUGUAAAAUGAUACAGGACAGCAUUUCAAUAAAGACAGUGUCAUGUAGGGUGUGGGUGGCGCUGUGGUCUAAACCGCUGAGCCUCUUGGGCCUGCUGGUCAGAAGGUUGGCGGUUUGAAUCCCCACAAUGGGAUGGGCUCCCGUUGCUCUUGUCCCAGCUCUUGCCAACCUAGGGGGGGGGUUUCAAAAGCACACCAGUGCAAGUAGAUAAACAGGUACCGCUGCGGCAGGAAGCUAAACAGCAUUUCCGUGAUCCGAGACCAGGGAGAAGAGUCGGUGGAAGAAGACUGGAAAAAGUUUAAAGACUAUUUACAGAAAUAUUGCAAAAUUAAUGAAUGUUAGAAUGAUGUUGGAUAGAAAUUAAGUGGUUUUUAGCUGUAAUACUAUAAGGGAAUAUGAAAAAUGGAUUAUUAAUAGGUAAAAAUUUAAUGUUACAAUAUUUUAAGAUUAAAGAUUAGGAUAAACAAAGAGGGGAAGGAUUUGCUGAACUAACAAACUGAAUUGGAAUACAAAAAAGGGAGGCGCGAGGAGGUCCGGGAAAUAAGCAAAUGAAAGCUAAGUAACGGAAAGAUUGAGUUGUUUUUAACUAUUUUUAUUUUGUAUUUUUCUUUUUUCUUUUUUCAUUUUGUAAUAUUUUGAAAAUUUUAAUAAAUAUCUCUUAAAAAAAUAAAUAAACAGCAUUUCCGUGCACUCUGGCUUCUGUCCUGGUGUUCCAUUGAGACAGAAGCGGUUUAGUCAUGCUGGCCACAUGACCCAAAAAGCUGUCUGUGGACAAACACCGGCUCCCUCGGCCUGAAAGCGAAAUGAGUGCCUCAACCCCAUAGUCACCAUUGACUGGACUUAACCGUCCAGGGGUCCUUUACCUAUUUUUUAACCGUUACAUGUGGGCAACAGGCAAAAUCUGCAUGCAUGAGCAGCUCCCAGCCGAGAAUAAACUGCUAUGUGGAAGGGGGGGCGGGGAGGGAAAUGGGCAGCUAGACAGGUAAGCAUCAGACAGGUACAAUCUAAGCUGAUCAUCUCCUGCCCAGUGGUUAUUGAAGUUAUCCUCAGGCUACCUUAGGAGCCUGCUGGUGUGUAAGAAGCAUAAGAGGAAAGGGGAUUUGGAUCCCCACUGACUAGCGGCAUGUACAUGCUGGGAGUGAGUAGCGGCUGCUUUCUCGUUGCCAAGCCUGUUCCGUCACUGCUGAAGUGUUGCUGCUGGAACACCACUGAGCUCCAGUUCAGUGACUCAAUGCUUGUGAGUCACGGGCUGUAUCUCUGCCGCACAGAAUUGAUCACAACCUGGAAGCAAGAGCUUAGCAGUCACAAACUGUGUCAGGAAUUGCAGACGCAGAAAAACAUAGAAGGGGGUAUUUACAAAUAACAGGAAUAUCACAUUGAGCUCCGCUAUUUCAGGAUUUUACUAGCUGACUGGCCGUAAAGACACUGAGUCCCAAACCCUGACUUGGAUUAAAAUCAGUCAAAAUAAACACAGUUUUGUUUCGUUUUUCCAAGGCAGUGAGAUCCAAGUUUCUCAAGUUCAGGCAAGGAAAUGUUGCAUUCAAUGAGAUUUAUAAACAAGCCCCUCGCAGCCAUCUCCAAGUCUUGCUUUUACUGAUUGCAGCUCUGAUCUGAGCUGGCGGUAGCACAUAACCUUUCAGUAUUAAUCAUACCGAAUGCAGACAACCUAAAUGAAAGAAAUAGAUGAAACGAAGCCUUUCAAACCACACAUUUCUCAAUUGUGGUUGAGAUUCAUUUCUCCCACACUGGGACACCUGACCUACUGAAGGUGGGACGGGUGAGCUGGAAGUUUGUGGGCAGAUGUCUGGAGGGUGGAGGAAACAAGGGGAAGACCAGAAGCUGGAUAAAAGGGCAAGAACACAACAAGCUUUGGCACUACAUGCAUGAAAGAUUGCCUCUGAUAGAAAGAAGGCCUUUGUUCAAGUAAGUCAGCAUUGGGCGGCAACGGCAAGGGUGCAUCUGAUGUAGACCAUAUGUGACUGGCAGCAAAAUACAAUGCAUGCUUAUUUAGAAGAUCCAUAGAAUUUAGCAGGGCAUAGAAUUCAAGUACCAUUCAUAGGAUUGCAGCCUGAGAGGGCCUUACAUGAAUGGAGUGGUGAGCCACCAAGACUUAUGGACAGAUAGCCACUGGGAUAGACCGAUUAGUCAGAGAUCGGUUGACUCAGGUCAACAGGGAAUGUCCUUGUUUGGAUACAUGCCCUGCUACAAUUGAAAGAAGAGCAAGGGUUGCCAAACAUUUUGGACCCACAGAAACAUUUGCAAAUGGCAGAAACUGUUGUGGGCCCUGUCUACAGACCGCAACCAAUCACACAUUGCUCCCUAUUCUAAGGUAAAGGUAAAGGACCCCUGGACAGUUAAGUCCAGUCAAAAGCAACUAUGGGGAUGUGGUGCUCAUCUCACUUUCAGGCCGAGGGAGCUGGCGUUUGUCCACAGACAGCUUUCCGGGUCAUGUGCCCAGCAUGACUAAACUGCUUCUGGUGCAACAGAACACUGUGACGAAAACCAGAGAGCAUGGAAACACCGUUUACCUUCCCGCCACAGUGGUACCUGUUCAUCUACUUGCACUGGCAUGCUUUUGAACUGCUAGGUGGGCAGAAGCUGGGACAGAGCAACGGAAGCUCACCCCAUCACAAGGAUUCAAACCGCCAACCUUCUGAUCAGCAAGCCCAAGAGACUCAGUGGUUUAGACCACAGCACCAUUUGCAUCCCGGUUUCCCUAAUGUACUAGCUACAAGAGAAUACUUCUUUCAAUUCAAAUUGCAGCUUGGAAAGGGAGGGAACCCUGUGGGUACUAGGGAUGGCCUCUGUGGGCACAUAUGCACCCCACCACAACCCCUAAAGUAGCAGAACACACCAAGGGAUGCAGCUCCUGGACAGAUCACAUCUGCUGUCCCCUGAACUUCACAAGCUUAGCUGAAGAUAUGAAUGCAUCUUGUGUGUGCAGUGUGAAAAGACCAGGAUCCCCGAUUUUAGGGACAGAGCCAUCUUGCCACAAGUAGCUUCAGUAUCAUAACACUGUGGGACAGAGGCUUAGUAACCCCUUCCAUAUGUAGAUAGGGAAGCAAGCAAAGGAUGCUAAGGGCUGCUAUACAAUUUGAUGAAUACACGUCAAAAGAAAUGCCCAGUAAUAGCCCACCUUAGCCCAAGUCUACCAUAAGCGAAACAGGGUGCCUUUAUCUUUACAGCCUCUUCAACACAAAGGAAAGACGUAAUUUACACAACUCAGCUGGAUUGGAGGCCAAUGCCAUAUCUCAAUGAGCUUCAAUAAAGCCUCACAAAUGGUAGCAGAGGUGGAUUUCAGAUGGUAGUUUGACUACACUGCCUCACACAUUGUGUGCCAUUUAAGUCACCUUGCACUACCACCUGGAAUCUGAACGUCUAGUAAUGUAAAUGGUGGAGACUGCCCUCUUUUUCGCACAUUUUCAGUGCAUGCAGUGAAUAAUUUGGAGACCAUGUGGCUAGUCUCAUUAUAUGGUUUCCCACCGCUAUGUGGCAUUGAAUUUAAUGGUAUUUGGGUGGAGUCUGGAGUUUCCAGCUGCCGUUCUGUAAGAAUAAGAGUCUUGUUGAGCUUCCCGCCUGGUGUCUCCCUUAUGCCUUCCAUGACAGAUAACAUAGGAAACCAUGAUUCACAUUAUUAGUCAGCUUUGAAACUCCCUGAGGUUGGACAGACAGACAUCCUUUUUAAAGAAAAUUGAAAGUGCUUUGAGACAGAGAUGCUUCAUUGUUCUAGUUGUAAAUUCACUGAUAAGAGAUUAUAAAAGUUGGACAAAGGCAACCAGGUUUUUGAAAUUUCAAAAGACGACGGAACCCUGCAGGACCUGUUAUCAGAAGAUACCAGUACACUCAGAAAGUACAACUGUCUGUCAGUCUGAGUGGCCAGAAGCAAAGAACUCAGCCAGAACUUAACUUUCUCCCCAAGGUUGCAGCGAAACCUCUUCGGAGGCACUUCCAGCCAUUUGGUUGUGCUGAGCAUUCAUAGAAUCAUAGAGUUGGAAGAGACCACAAGGGCCAUCGAGUCCAACCCCCUGCCAAGCAGGAAACACCAUCAGAGCACUCCUGACAUAUGGUUGUCAAGCCUCUGCUUAAAGACCUCCAAAGAAGGAGACUCCACCACACUCCUUGGCAGCAAAUUCCACUGUCGAACAGCUCUUACUGUCAGGAAGUUCUUCCUAAUGUUUAGGUGGAAUCUUCUUUCUUGUAGUUUGGAUCCAUUGCUCCGUGUCCACUUCUCUGGAGCAGCAGAAAACAACCUUUCUCCCUCCUCUAUGUGACAUUCUUUUAUAUAUUUGAACAUGGCUAUCAUAUCACCCCUUAACCUCCUCUUCUCCAGGCUAAACAUGCCCAGCUCCCCUAGCCGUUCCUCAUAAGGCAUCGUUUCCAGGCCUUUGACCAUUUUGGUUGCCCUCCUCUGGACACGUUCCAGUUUGUCAGUGUCCUUCUUGAACUGUGGUGCCCAGAACUGGACACAGUACUCCAGGUGAGGUCUGACCAGAGCAGAAUACAGUGGCACUAUUACUUCCCUUGAUCUAGAUGCUAUACUCCUAUUGAUGCAGCCCAGAAUUGCAUUGGCUUUUUUAGCUGCCGCGUCACACUGUUGGCUCAUGUCAAGUUUGUGGUCAACCAAGACUCCUAGAUCCUUUUCACAUGUACUGCUCUCAAGCCAGGUGUCACCCAUCUUGUAUUUGUGCCUCUCAUUUUUUUCGCCCAAGUGCAAUACUUUACAUUUCUCCCUGUUAAAAUUAAUCUUGUUUGUUUUGGCCCAGUUCUCUAAUCUGUCAAGGUCGUUUUGAAGUGUGAUCCUGUCCUCUGGGGUGUUAGCCACCCCUCCCAGUUUGGUGUCAUCUGCAAAUUUGAUCAGGAUGCCCUUGAGUCCAUCAUCCAAGUCAUUGAUAAAGAUGUUGAAUAAGACCGGGCCCAAGACAGAACCCUGUGGCACCCCACUAGUCACUCUUCUCCAGGAUGAAGAGGAACCAUUGAUGAGCACCCUUUGGGUUCGGUCAGUCAGCCAGUUACAAAUCCACUGAGUGGUAGCAUAGUCAAGACCACAUUUUACCAGCUUCUUUACAAGAAUAUCAUGGGGCACCUUGUCAAAUGCCUUGCUGAAAUCAAGGUAGGCUACAUCCACUGCGUUGCCUUCAUCUACCCGGCUUGUAAUUCUGUCAAAAAAUGAGAUCAGGUUAGUCUGACAUGACUUAUUUUUCAGAAAUCCAUGCUGACUAUUGGUGAUCACACCAUUCCUUUCUAGGUGCUCACAGACUGUUUGCUUAAUGAUCUGCUCCAGAAUCUUCCCUGGUAUUGAUGUCAGACUGACUGGGCGGUAAUUAUUUGGGUCCUCUCUUUCCCCUUUUUGAAAAUAGGGACAUUUGCCCUCCUCCAGUCUGCCUGGACUUCGCCUGUUCUCCAGGAAUUCUCAAAGAUGACUGCCAGUGGUUCUGAGAUCACAUCUGCCAGUUCUUUUAAUACUCUUGGAUGCAGUUCAUCUGGCCCUGGAGACUUGAAUACAUCUAAACUAGCCAAGUAUUCUUGUACUAUCUCCUUAGUUAUUCUGGGCUGUGUUUCCUUUGCUGAAUCAUUUGCUCCAAAUUCUUCAGGUCGGGCAUUGUUUCCUUUAUCGGAGAAGGCUGAGGCAAAGAAGGCAUUGAGGAGUUCAGCCCUUUCUGUGUCCCGUUUGCAUUUCACCAUCCUCUCCUCUGAGUGACCCCACUGUUUCUUUGUUCUUCCUUUUGCUACGAAUAUACCCAUAAAAGCCUUUUUUGUUGCUUUUAACCUCUCUAGCAAGCCUGAGUUCAUUCUGUGCUUUAGCUUUUCUGACUUUGUGUCUACACGUGCUGGCUAUUUGUUUGAAUUCCUCUUUGGUGGUUUCCCCUUUUCCAUUUUUUGUACACAUCCUUUUUAAUCUUAACUCAGUUAAAAGUUCUUUAGAUAGCCACCCUGGCUUCUUUAGGCACCUUCCAUGUUUCCGUCUCAUUGGUAUUGCCUGAAGUUGUGCUUUACUAUCUCCCUCUUAACAAACUCCCAGCCAUCAUGAACUCCCUUUCCUUUUAGUAUUACUGUCCAUGGGAUCUCACCCAGCACUUCCCUAAGUUUUAUGAAGUCGGCUUUCUUAAAGUCAAGAAAUUGAGUCCUAGUAUGCUUGGCUGCUCCUUUCCGCUGUAUAGUAAACUUCAGAAGAGCAUGAUCACUUGCGCCUAAUGAUCCUUCCACUUCUACCCCACUAACCAGGUCAUCAACAUUGGUUAGGACCAGAUCUAAAAUGGCUGUUCCUCUUGUUGCAUCUCCCACUUUCUGGACAAUGAAGUUGUCUGCAAGGCCAGUGAGGAAUCUGUUUGACCUUAUGCUCUUGGCUGAGUUUGACAUCCAACAAAUAUCCGGGUAAUUGAAGUCCCCCAUUACUACUAUCUCCCUUCCUUUUGCAUGCUUGGCCAUCUGUUCCAGGAAGGCAUCAUCUAUGAACUCCGUUUGGCUUGGGGAUCUAUAAUAAACUCCCACAAUGAGGUCACUGUUAUUCUUCUCUCCCUUAAUUUUGAUCUAAAUGCUCUCACUUUGGCUUUGAGGUUCAUCCUAACUGGUUUGCAGGGAGAGUAAAAGACACUGGCUAUUUAUUGAAAAUUCAUUCUGAUUUGUUUGUGGGAAGGUUAGAUGACGUCGCAUCAAAGCAAUUGCUAUCCCACACUUUCCAGUCCAUUUCUCUAUUAUUUUAUUUAUCACCAAAAAAAAAAAUCCACUCCUUGGGAGAAGCAGGUUUAUUGUUCAAGACCUCCCCAUCAACCAUAGCUGUGCAACCUGAAUUUUGCCUGAACGUGACUGAAUCCCCAGUAAAGAAUUAUAAGGUGUGGUAAGCUGUUAAACGCUACAAAAAUAAAAUUGCUUUGGAGCAUUUGAUGAUGACGAUUUUAAAUUUAAAAGUAGUUCCUAUUUAAACAUUUUUUUGUCAAAAACAUAAGCUACUCUCCAAAGUAUGGUUCAACAACAUUUGCGGUGUAGCCGUCUCAGAGUGACUGACUGGGCUUAGAAGGGUAGCAAAAGGUGUUAUAAAGAGAAAUACCUUUGUUGGAUAACAAUUCUCUCCCACCAACUACUAGACCUGUGCCCAGCUAUUGUAUUUAAAUUAUAAAAGUUUUAUUAUUUUGGAAAAUAAAAAAUUUUGGGGAAAACCCCAAUAAAAUAUAUUUUAGCUGUAAGUUAAAACAUGAUUUUCUUCGCCUUUCAGGUUUCCCUCUCUUGUAUAGAUUUAGCUUGUUGAACAGAUAACGAAGCAAUUCUAAGCAUAGUUACUCAGAAGUAAGUCCCACUAUGUUCCACGGAGCUUAUUUCAGGAUAGCUACAGGGAUAGCCAAUAUGGUGACCUCCAGAUGUUGCUAGCUUACAACGCCCCUCAUCCCAGACCCUUGGCUAUCCCUAGCUGAUGGGAUUUGGAGUCCAGCAAGGGCUGGAGAGCACGACAUUGACUACAUUGUUGUAUAAUACUGCCUUCUUAAUCCAGCAGGACUGUGGACUAAUCUAUGAGAAAUUCCCAGGCACAAAAUGGAAAAGCAUGUAGGCUGUUACCAGCAGAGGGACACACAACAAAUGUUAGGAAAUUACCUCAGUGCAAAAAUUCCUCUCUUCUUACAACUCCCUGUGAGUAUCUGCCAGGUGUCCUUCCUUAUCAGCACCAACAAUAUGGGAAUGAUUCAGUUAAACAACUAACAUCCUUUUUCCCUUCUUCCUUAUGGUAACUCAGCUGCUCAAGCUAUUUCUGACCAUCAGGUGUGAGACUGAUAAAUAAGCAAAUGCUUCAGUGUACUUCCUCUGCCGGCUGCCCAUAUGGGACCUCUCAAACUGAAGCAAAAGGUAUGGACCUGGAUUCCGUGAAAAGGUGUUAAACUGAC